GAUGAAGAACGUAGCGAAAUGCGAUAAGUAAUGUGAAUUGCAGAAUUCAGUGAAUCAUCGAAUCUUUGAACGCACAUUGCGCCCGCCAGUAUUCUGGCGGGCAUGCCUGUUCGAGCGUCAUUACAACCCUCAGGCCCCCGGGCCUGGCGUUGGGGAUCGGCGGAAGCCCCCUGCGGGCACAACGCCGUCCCCCAAAUACAGUGGCGGUCCCGCCGCAGCUUCCAUUGCGUAGUAGCUAACACCUCGCAACUGGAGAGCGGCGCGGCCACGCCGUAAAACACCCAACUUCUGAAUGUUGACCUCGAAUCAGGUAGGAAUACCCGCUGAACUUAAGCAUAUCAAAGCGGAGGA
rnacentral:misc_RNA from 1 species